CCGAGUUAUCAACUCCCAAACCCCUGUGAACAUACCUAAAACGUUGCUUCGGCGGGACCGCCCCGGCGCCCACAGCGGCCCGGAACCAGGCGCCCGCCGGAGGACCCAAACUCUUGUUUAAAUUUAUAGUGGCAUAUUCUGAGUCUCACAAACAAAUGAAUCA
rnacentral:misc_RNA from 1 species